AUGGGAGGCUAAGGUUAGCCAAGCCUCUUUCUCUCCAUUGGUUAGAGUCCUCGUUCCUCGCUACCUACGACUGGGGACUCUGACAAGCACAAUUUACAUUGAGCUCGCCUCGCGCUGCUAUUUACUUUGAAACCUGAUUAGCCUACGGGCCGUCUAUUGUCACAAAAACAGGAAGAAACCCUGGAUAGAAUAGCCGAAAAGAUGGGUGAAAGAGGGGACAAAGCUUUGCGCACGUGAAAUAAACAAACGUGCGCGGGCGAAAGGGACUCGCAUAGAAGGACUCGCAUAGAAUUCCCCAAAGUUUGAAAUGGUGCUGUGUUCCUGAAAAAGAUUCCAAACACAACAGCUGCUGCUUCUUUUUUUAGAUUGAGCAAAGUCUUUCAAGGGAGUGAGCGACUGUGCAAACUGAUCGUGCCAUACUGAAAGGAACGUCAUGGCAAGUCCCCCUCCUUUGGAAUAAAGAGCAUCACCUUGUCACGCAGUCAGAAUCGACAGAGGGUUGUGAUGUCAUGUGUAAAACAAAUGUCUCUGUUUAUAUAAGCUCAGUCGCAGCAGCAGCCGUGACAUCGUGACGUCAGCCCCGCCGCACAAGGUGCGGCUCACACAACGGCCACGACCUGGAUUUAUUUUGACCGCUGACAUCCGAAUAAUGUAGUCUUCAGAAGUAUUAAUAAUGACGCCAAAGAAAAUACUGAUUAUCAAAACUCCCAGCUUAGGUAGAUACUCCCUAAGCAUUUGUCUACAAGGUAAAGGGUUGCUAUUAUGUCUGUGUCAGUAGGUUAAAGGCAAGACAGACCAACACGAAUGUCGGCUGUGCCUACUGGGCGACGACAGAAUGGUGGCGACUCAACGUGUAGAAUCGCUGGGAAAUGAUCCAAAAAUCACGGCCAGUGUACUGUUGUCAGCGGUGGUGUGACGUCCAACCGCUGCGCACCUGCGGUGCACGGCCGAAGUUCCUGUUGGUCUGUCUUGGCCUUACGACUAUAUAUGAGCUUCGCCAGUGUCCGUAGCUGAAGGUAUCUACUGUCAGAGAUGAUCAACAUGCCUGUGUCAGAGAUGAUCAACAUGCCUGUGCUUGUGUCCUCACUGCCCUGGCCCUGGACCCAGAGGACAUAUUUACAGGGUGUACUAACCUUAACGCCACACUGCUCUCCUCUCCACCUCACUCAGCUAACCUUAAUCCCUCCUAUCCAGCAGCCCACACAGCUCUGAGGGUCAACGGAAACAGAAUCAAUGCUUUAUGAAUAUGUAUAUAAUGUAUAAUGACAUCCUCAAGUCCAAGUGUAUUUGUGAUGCCAUUCGUGUUUGAUUGUCAACGUUCUUAUUGUCAUAUUCAGAAGCGAAGGUGAAGCUAGCUGUAUUAUGCUACGCUGGGCAAAAAGGUUUUGGACGUACGUGAUCAAGUGCCUUUCCUUUGCUAGUCGUUUAAUUUAUGUAUGUGGAUUCUGUGUGUGUGUGUGUGAGAGACCACAUGGCAAGUUUACCUCAGAUGACCCCGCUGACAUGAGGCAUCCGAGCGGAAUUCAAGCCGUGACAAAUGGGUUCUGGGCCUGAACAGCAGACAUUCCACAGCGUGUUUCUCUUCAGCAACUCCUCCUCUCCUUCCUCUCCUUAUCCCUUCCUACACUUCUCCUCGAAACAUCUAUCUCUUCAAAGGUUGUAAGAAUGCACUUAUCAACCAAACAUAAACCUGUUGUAUGUAGUGGAAGAGGUUGUGGGAAUCACCCGGAACAUGAACUUCCGAGGAAGGCAAGCCUUAUACAGAGCUGUUUGAAUGCAAUGCUCUACAAAGCUCUGGCGUAUUUGCAGAUGAAUAAAGGAAAAAGAGACUGGUGUUAGUAGAAAAAGAGAAGUGAAGCCCUUGGAUGUUAGUAUCGUAAACCUUUCUUGAUCAGUGAUGUGGAGGUUGAGAGAAAAUAUAGCGCUGUGUUUAAACAGGAUGUGUAGGUUGUAGCAUCCUAUCCUCUUCCCCCUGCAAUAUCCCCCCAUUUCUUUAUCCCUCCCUCCCUCCC